rnacentral:rRNA from 1 species
UACGAAGGUCCCAAGCGUUAUCCGGAUUUAUUGGGUUUAAAGGGUGCGUAGGCGGGCUAUUAAGUCAGUGGUGAAAUCUCCGAGCCUAACCUCGGAAAUUGCCAUUGAUACUGAUGGUCUUGAGUACAUUUGAAGUGGGCGGAAUGUGUCAUGUAGCGGUGAAAUGCUUAGAUAUGACACAGAACACCGAUUGCGUAGGCAGCUCACUAAACUGUAACUGACGCUGAGGCACGAAAGCGUGGGGAGCAAACAGG